rnacentral:lncRNA from 10 species
UUUCAGACUGAGGUUGACUGUGAGGUAACUGAAACCACGGAAAGCAAAACUGCCAACAAGAAUGAAUAGGGAGGACCACAAGACAUUUGUCACAUUCCACCAUAGCCUACUUCCAUAUUUGAGAGCCUGAAUGUCUCAGAUUGAUUUCAAACAAAUGCAGCAACAAAUCAAGGUGUUCUUCCUUGGGAAGUGAUGGGUGUUUUGCCUACUGUCAAUCUCUGGAAUCAUUCUGGCUACUAUGUGGACAAAAACUGUAGCAGGUAAAGAACAGGAGCCAAGAAGCCAGUAUGGAGCCAAAGAGCAGGCCAAGUGAGGGAUGAUGACUCACUCACUGGCUAGCUGAGUGGUUCUUGGUAUACCAACAAGAAUGAAAAUAACUUAACAGCAAUUUUAUAAAUUCACAUCCCCCAGAGCACCACAGAGUAAAGAAAUACUGCAUAUGGGUAACAACUGGUUCUUAGUUACUAAAUCUGAAAGAUCAAAUACAGUUAAUUACAUAAGCUUCUCUUGAGUUUUUCUGGGGGAAUAUACCAGGAGACCAUAAUCAAGGUACCAGUUUAUUGAUGGCUGUCCUUAACAAAUACAACUCUUCAAGAAAAUAAAGUAAUUUAAUGCAUAAUAAUGUUGAAUGCGUAAGUAGGAUCAAAAUUAGCUAUUUCUAAAUUGUUUAAAAAUCAGAAUUUCAUUUCAGAGUAAAAAUUAUUAUAAAGAUAAAGUAACAGUAAUGCCAUCACUAUGGAUCCUUAAUCUACAGUUUGUGAAUGUAAAUUACUUGAUCAUGUUUCCAGACUAAUUUUUGUAAAGAAAGGUUUUAUGGGUGACAUCUACAUUUGUUACCAUAUCUUCAUUUGACAAGGCAAGCUGGUAAAUU